CCCUUAAAUCCUGCACUCUUAAAAUUUACAUGCAUGUGUCACAUACAAAAUCUAUGAUUAGCAUCAGAAAGAUGGAUUGAAAAGUCUCGACUAGAUAUUAUGUAAGGUAUUGCAAUACAGUAAAUUUAGUAUAAGAUUAUGUACCUUUAAGAGCCCAUACUAAAAUCUAAUAGAAUGAACAAGUGAUAUUUUUUUGUCUAUUAG
rnacentral:lncRNA from 1 species